rnacentral:rRNA from 1 species
UUGGUCAUUUAGAGGAAGUAAAAGUCGUAACAAGGUCUCCGUAGGUGAACCUGCGGAGGGAUCAUUACAAGUGACCCCGGUCUAACCACCGGGAUGUUCAUAACCCUUUGUUGUCCGACUCUGUUGCCUCCAGGGCGACCCUGCCUUCGGGCGGGGGCUCCGGGUGGACACUUCAAACUCUUGCGUAACUUUGCAGUCUGAGUAAACUUAAUUAAUAAAUUAAAACUUUUAACAACGGAUCUCUUGGUUCUGGCAUCGAUGAAGAACGCAGCGAAAUGCGAUAAGUAAUGUGAAUUGCAGAAUUCAGUGAAUCAUCGAAUCUUUGAACGCACAUUGCGCCCCCUGGUAUUCCGGGGGGCAUGCCUGUUCGAGCGUCAUUUCACCACUCAAGCCUCGCUUGGUAUUGGGCAUCGCGGUCCGCCGCGUGCCUCAAAUCGAUUGGCGGUCACGUCGAGCUUCCAUAGCGUUGUAAUCAUACACCUCGUUACUGGUAAUCGUCGCGGCCACGCCGUUAAACCCCAACUUCUGAAUGUUGACCUCGGAUCAGGUAGGAAUACCCGCUGAACUUAAGCAUAUCAAUAAG